AUGGCUUUGUUGCCCUACCUGACCUUGAGUACAAAGAAAACAAAGGGUCCCGUGUGAACACUGCCGGACUCGACCCUUUCUAGGCUUCCGCAAGUGCUAGGGGCUCUGCUUCUAGGAAUGGUAAGUGAACUUCCCCUACCUUCCCCUGGAGGGCGCCACACAGAGAUGUCUGGAUUUCCGCCGCACAGUGAUGCCACCUGGCAGUCAUGUGACAUCAUAUAAUGUGAGGGGCUUGCUCUUGGAAACAGGCUGUGCUACAACUGAGGUCUCUCCACCAAAAUACUGAUAACCAGCUCAGCUCAGGAUUUAAGGGGAGAGAAUCCUUCUCCCUUAAAUGUGACCACAUGAGCUGCCGGUCCCUUUGGACUCAGGACCCACAGCUGGACAGAUGUCACAUGGUGGAAUAUUGUCUUGGAUAGAAUUUCACAGUACAGGACCUGCUCACACAGAUACCCUAUGCAAGUCUCCAGGAGCCUUACUUGUCCUUUUGAAAUUUAAUAUUCUUAAUCCUUCCCAAUUAGACGGAUACAAUGGAGGGGCAGGGGACAAGAAACUGCAAAUUAGAAUCCAAGGCCAAGCCCCUUCUUCCUCUAGGGAAGAUAAGCUAUCAAGCAUUUGCUUUUAAUGAACACACCUGAGAAAAACCAACUCCCAAAUGGGCAUUGGAAUAGGGUGACAUAAAUAUGGAAUAAGUGGAGGAGCUGACAGGGCAGUGAUUUUCACAAUAAAUUGGAGUAUUCUCUCUGACAAAAGCUGAAAUUCCUAACAAAGAGAUGGUCUUGAUCUCGGGCCAACUUCUGAAGUUUUCUUUUACACUCAACAUUAGUUAAUUUUUCUUUAAUCCAGUGUGUGCUGAAACUGCCGUUCUCUUCCUCCCUCCAAUGUGUGUUACGUUUGACCUUCACAUGAGCUUGUCUGUCUGCAGAGCUGGCCUGGCCCAGAACGUUAUGUUUUUUUUCCCAUAAUCACCGUGUGCUUUCAUCAUAGCUGUUAUCGUUUGUUAAAGCACAGCCAGAUGGACUCUGUGUCCCCAGUCCCUGAGUUAGCUGACCGCCAGGGCAGGGAGGCCAUGUUGCUCCACACUUUUUUGAAGAAGGCCUUACCUUGAUUCCAUAUGUUUCAGAAUUAGCUGUGUCAUCUACAAGAGAAGGCCAAAGGUGCUGUCGUGGUAAGAGUGAGUCAUCUCCGGAUCUGGUGGUUUAGGAGUGUGUGGCACCUCCCCCUUCUCUUCCUGCUGCUCCAGGCAUGAGAAGUGCUCGCUCCCUCUUUGCCUUCCGCCACGUUUGUAAGUUUCCUGAGGCCUCCGAAGCCGAGCAAAUGCCAGCAUCAUCCUUCCUGUACAAGCCUGCAGAACUAAUGAGUCGCAUGGCUUCACACAGGUGUCAAGGAGCCUGGCAAGCUCCCUGCUGGGAGCCAUUUACCAGCUGCAACUCCACCCUACGGAAGAGAGAGUAGGCAUCUGGGUGGACAAUGAGUUGUUCCUGCCACCAGGAUCUUAUGUUUAUUCACUGCCAUGAUGACCUGAAUUAUUUUGGAUAGAAGACACUUCAGGAUUCAAUAGGAAGGAUCAGUGAGGCAACAGGAGUGGCGGCAGAGAAAGAACCACUAUGAAGUUUAAAGAGACACUUAGAAACAGAAUGGUCAUGAACAACGCCCAGUGAGUCCCAUGAGACUGCUUAUUGAAAACACUGGUUACACUAUGUGUUUCUACCUCUGAAAAAGACAUGCUAGUUUCCCACAGUGGUUGUAAACAUGUCAAUUGCUUUUUUUUUUUUU
rnacentral:lncRNA from 1 species